rnacentral:tRNA from 1 species
GCCAGCAUGGUGUAGUGGUUUGAAUGUUGGAUUACAACUCUGGAAACCAGGGUUCAAAUCCCUGGUUGGACA